UCAUAGAUAUAGGAGAUCUAGAUUGCUAACGCAUACCUAGCGCAGGUGGGGCCUACAUGAUAAAUCCAAGAUGGCGGUACAACAGGGCAAAAAGCCUAUAGAUUCUAUUACGAAAAUCAGGAUUUUUGCCUUUUUGCCGUCGCAUUGUUUUGAAACUUAUUCGGUCAAAUUUUAUGGUAAAGAGAAACUUACCGCGAAGAUUUUGAGCACAUAUAUGAUUGAAUUGGAUGAAAACUCGCAAAAUUAUCCAUCGAUAAAAGUUCGUGUAUAGUACUGAUAUAGUACAAUAUAUGUAACUUGUACAGUUUUGCUUUAAUUUUUGCUCACUAUUUGCAUAAAAAGCAAAUUAUAACAGACCAUAGAUGAUAGACCCUCAUCCAGUGCUCUCAUCAGUUUACUUCUCUAACAAGCAAGGGGGGGGGGGAGGGGGGUUACAUAACAGUUCAUUUUUUAUAAUUAUGAGGACAGAGCAGAUGAUGAUGAGAGAUGCAAGUAUAAAACACCAUUCACAAGGCUAGAUGUUAACAUAGCACAGUAUUUCUGGCAAUAAAACGCUCCAACUGACCAACUGACCAUUUCAC